rnacentral:rRNA from 1 species
UACGUAGGGUGCGAGCGUUGUCCGGAAUUAUUGGGCGUAAAGGGCUCGUAGGCGGUUUGUCGCGUCGGGAGUGAAAACCCAGGGCUUAACCCUGGGCUGGCUUCCGAUACGGGCAGACUAGAGGUAUGCAGGGGAGAACGGAAUUCCUGGUGUAGCGGUGAAAUGCGCAGAUAUCAGGAGGAACACCGGUGGCGAAGGCGGUUCUCUGGGCCAUUACUGACGCUGAGGAGCGAAAGCGUGGGGAGCGAACCGG